rnacentral:rRNA from 1 species
AACGAACGCUGGCGGCAUGCCUAACACAUGCCAGUCGAACGAGACCUUCGGGCCUAGUGGCGCACGGGUGCUUAACGCGUGGGAAUCUGCCCUUGGGUUCGGAAUCACAGUUGGAAACGACUGCUAAUACCGGAUGAUGACGUAAGUCCAAAGAUUUAUCGCCCAAGGAUGAGCCCGCGUAGGAUUAGCUAGUUGGUGAGGUAAAGGCUCGCCAAGGCGACGAUCCUUAGCUGGUCGGAGAGGAUGAUCAGCCACACUGGGACUGAGACACGGCCCAGACUCCUACGGAGGGGAGGAGUGGGGAAUAUUGGACAAUGGGCGAAAGCCUGAUCCAGCAAUGCCGCGUGAGUGAUGAAGGCCUUAGGGUUGUAAAGCUCUUUUAGCCGGGAUGAUAAUGACAGUACCGGGAGAAUAAGCACCGGCUAACUCCGUG